rnacentral:rRNA from 1 species
GACGAACGCUGGCGGCGUGCUUAACACAUGCAAGUCGAACGGAAAGGCCCUGCUUGCAGGGUACUCGAGUGGCGAACGGGCGAGUAACACGUGGGUGAUCUGCCCUGCACUUCGGGAUAAGCCUGGGAAACUGGGUCUAAUACCGGAUAGGAGCCAUUUUUAGUGUGAUGGUUGGAAAGUUUUUUCGGUGUAGGAUGAGCUCGCGGCCUAUCAGCUUGUUGGUGGGGUAAUGGCCUACCAAGGCGGCGACGGGUAGCCGGCCUGAGAGGGUGGACGGCCACAUUGGGACUGAGGUAGCGUCCGGACUCCUACGGGAGGCAGCAGUGAGGAAUAUUGCACAAUGAGCGCAAGCCUGAUGCAGCGACGCCGCGUGGUGGAUGGCGGCCUUCGGAUUGUAAACUCCUUUCGCUAGGGACGAAGCUUUUGUGACGGUACCUAGAUAAGAAGCACCGGCUAACUACAUG